AACAACUUUUGACGGGAAAAACGUGAGGGCAAGUCCAGACAAGCCCUGAACAAUACAAACCAAGGGGAUUAACAUAGAAGUAUAUAUGGGGGUACAUUAAACAUGGUAUGAAACUGGGGAAUAACAUGAAAGCCUGUGAAUUAUUAGCUCCUUCAGGCUCCAUAUAAGUCCCUCCAGGCUUUGAAUCUCUUCCAAUCACUUUGAUGUUCCUCCUCAAUAAACUGUGCAGGGUGUCCUGACUGCACAACACAGACCCACCUUUGGGCCUGCCCAGCAACAAGGAAACCUACCAAAACCAUUGCAACAGUCUGCCUGUGGAAAACAGCCUGGUGCUUUGCAUGACAGCCUGAAGGGCAAGACCCCACUACCCCAGACCGAGAGGCACUCCAGACACUGUCAGGGUUAUUCCAGCUAUAGUCCUGGUCUGAAGAAGACCAAGGACUCACCAGCUCACCACAGGCAGUUGCCAACAGCUGAAGAUCAGCUGGAUCAGGCAAAACACGAGCAAAUGUCCAUGAAAUAUGAGAGUUAAAAAGUCAGGGGAGGGGGUUGCCUUCUUUCUUUCCUUCCUUCCUCCUUUCUUUUAUCUCCACUUAACUAGUUAAAUCAAUUGUAGUAAGAAGACAUCUUCCAGCCCCCAAAACAUUAUCUUUAUUGAGGGAUUUUGUUUCAUUCACUCUGUAAAACUACUUCAGGAUUUUAAAUUAAAUGUGAAAUCCAGU